AUUUAAGUGGCUUAAAUUAAAGUGUCACGUUGAAGUUGUGAAGAUGGGGUUUCCCUUUAAAUA
rnacentral:tRNA from 1 species